rnacentral:lncRNA from 1 species
AUGGCGGCGUUUGUACGGGGUGCAACCGCUGCGGUUGCAAGGCGUCCGAAGUAUGUGAGUCCACUAACAAAGUCCAGAAACUCGCCAGUUAAUAGUAUUGUGAAAUACUAAAAAAUUCUAAAACUUGUAUGGAACUACAAAAGACAUUAAAUAAUCAAAGUAAUCUUGAGCAACAAGGACACAGCUGGAGGCAUCACUCUACCUGAUUUUGUAAUCCAUUAUCAUCAAAAAAACUAUGGUACCAGCAUAUAAAAACAGAUUCACUGACUAGUGGAACAGCAUAGCCCAGACAUAACUCAUGCAUUUUCAUACCAUUGAUUUUUGACAAAAGUGGCACAAAGAAUGGGGAGAGGAUAGAUAGAUAGAUAGAUAGAUAGAUAGAUAGAUAAUUGUUUUGAGAUAUCUGUAUAUAUGUUUGAAAUUGGACCCUUUUCUCAUAGCAUAUGGAAAAAUCAAAAUGGAUUAAAGCCUGAAAUGUUGCCUUUGAAACUGUAAAACUACUAGUAGAAAAUAUAGGGGAAAAGCUCUGUGAUGAUGUUCUGGGCAAUGAUUUCUUGGAUACAUCCUUAAAAGCAUGGGUAGCAAAAACAGCCAGACAACUUGAGUUGCAUCAAACUAAAAAGCAUCUGCACUGCAAAGGGUACAGUUAACAGAGUGAAGACACGGGUUUUGAGAAACCAUUUUCAAAUCAUAUGUCUGAUAAGGGACUAAUAUCCAAUAUAUGUAAGAAACCCAAGCUCAAUAGCAAGAAACCAACUAUCUUUAGAAAAGGACCUCAACUUGUAUUUUUCAGAGGAAGACAUGAGUGGCCGAUUGAUACGUGAAAAAAAUGCUCAACAUCUCUAAUCAUUAGUGAGUUGCAAAUCAAAACUGCAAGAUAUUACCUUACACCUUUUAGAAUGGCUACAGUUUAAUAAAAUUAGAAAUAACACAGAGAUAGGAACUGUACAUACUUGUGCAAAUUUAAAAAGUGUUAUGCUUAGUGUGGUGGCUCACACCUGUAAUCCCAGCACUUUGGGAGGCCAAGGAGGGUGGAUCACUUGAAGUUAGGAGUUUAAGACCAGCCUGGCCAACAUGGUGAAACCCUGUCUCUACUAAAAAUACAGAAAAUUAGCAAGGCAUGGUGGUGUGUGCAUGUAGUCCCAGCUACUCCGGUGGCUGAGGCAUGAGAAUCACUUGAGCAUAGGAGGCGAGUGGCAGUGAGGUGAGAUCGCACCACUGCACUCCAGCCUGGGUGACAGGAAGACUCUGUCCCCCCAAAAAAAAAAAAAAAAAAAAAAA